rnacentral:rRNA from 1 species
AACCCGAAAUAUGGCGAGUUGUCCUUAAAUUGUUUAGAACCCACUAAAUUCUGUUGCAUUAGAAUUAAAAAAUUUAUGGGCAGCGGCUACAUACCAACCGCGCUAUAUUAUAGCUGGUUUCUUUUUAAAGUUAUAUUAGUAACAAAAAUAUAACAUUAUUCUAAUAUAUAAAGGAAAAGCUUUAUAUAAAACCCUAUCACUAUAAAAUAAAAAAUUUAAAGUAGGCCUAAAAAUAGCCCCCUAAAAAAAUGUUAUAAUUACACUUCCUAAAUAAUUUUUUCCUGAUGAAAAUUAAAAAGAAAGAUAUAAAAAUUAAAUUUAUAUUUAUAUAAUGUUAAAAUUAGUAUUAGUAAAUAAAUAUAAUAAAGUUUAUUCAUAUAUAGUAAAGGAACUCGGCAAAUACAUAUUUCGACUGUUUAUCAAAAACAUAGCCUUAUGAUAUUAAAAUAUAAGGUAUACCCUGCCCGGUGAAUUUUUAACGGCCGCAGUACUCUGACUGUGCAAAGGUAGCAUAAUCACUUGCCUUUUAAUUGAAGGCUGGAAUGAAUGGGCCCACGAAAAUAAAGCUGUCUCUACUAUACUUAUAUAAAUUAGAACUUAGGUGAAAAUACCUAAAUAUAAAUAAAGGACAAAAAGACCCUAUAGAGCUUCAUUCAAAUUAAUUCAUAGUAUAUCACAUAUACUAUUUACUAUAUAUGAAUUUUGUUGGGGCAACAAAGGAACAGACAAAGCUUCCUUUAUUUUAAAAGAUUAACAAAUCUAUUUAUUGAUCCUAUAAUGAUCGAAGGAAAUAGCUACCUUAGGGAUAACAGACUAAUCUCCUUAGAGAGUUCACAUUGACAAGGAGGGUUGGCACCUCGAUGUUGGCUUAAGGUAUCCUUUAGGUGCAGAAGCCUAAAAAGGUUGGUUUGUUCAACCAUUAAAACCUUACAUGAGCUGAGUUCAGACCGGCGUAAGCCAGGUUAGAUUCUAUCCUUAUUUUAAAAUUUACUAAGUAGUACGAAAGGAUCCU